GACGAACCGUGCGAACGUUGUUCGGAUUCACUGGGCUUAAAGGGCGCGUAGGCGGCUUGCCAAGUCAGGGGUGAAAUCUUUCGGCUCAACCGGAAAAGUGCCUUUGAUACUGGCGGGCUAGAGGGAGGUAGGGGUGCGUGGAACUUCUGGUGGAGCGGUGAAAUGCGUAGAUAUCAGAAGGAACGCCGGUGGCGAAAGCGACGCACUGGAUCUCUACUGACGCUGAGGCGCGAAAGCCAGGGGAGCGAACGGG
rnacentral:rRNA from 1 species